ACCCAUUUAUACAUUUUCUAAAUCCAAAUUUUAGAACCUAGAUUUAACCUUGUUCUUUUCUUUAAAAUGAUACGAGAGAGGAAAGAAUUUUUUUUUUACAAAAAAAACUUUAUCAUAUCCUAGCGCCGCUUCCUUUAUCUGUUCUUAUCUUUGAGUCGUUGUCAUCCAUUCUUAUCCUCCGUAUAAUCUCCUCUUCAUCCUAAAAUCAGCAAUUCACUAGAGUCCCUAGGAUAUUUCUCCCUGAACGUGCACAACGUCCUAGAGGCUCUAUCACGUCAUCUUCUAGCUUCCAUAUGAUUCCUCUCCACUAGUCAUUCCUCUAGAAAAUCUCCAGCCGCUGCCCUCCAUCUGAUAUUUCGUAUAUCUGCUGGCUAGCGCUCGGCUUCUUUCGCACACGCUCCUGCUGCCGGUACCCAGUCCUACGGCCCCUCCUCUCUCCACCUCGACUCGCCGGCGUUGCUCGGCUGCAGCUCGUCGGAGCUUCCUGUUCUCAGCGCGCCGACCUCCCUCUUCUCCUUCAUGUCCGGCCGCCGGUCUGGCCGAGGACCCUGGUCGUGGGGUCGCGUCCUCCUCCCUCGUCGCGGACCUGCCGUGUCCUGGGCGCCAUUCCAGCACUGCCAGGUUCCGCGCCAUCGUGCCUCUGGGUCCUCGCCGCGGUUCAGGCCGUCGAUGCCUGUUGCCCCGACGCUCCCUCACGCUCCUUUAUCAGCCUCGCCUAGACCUCCGCCUCCUCGUCGGACUGCACACACGCCGCCGCCAUUUCUUGCAGUUUCGUCGCGCCAUCCCCUCUGAUUUCCUUGUUCUCGUCGGCUUAAACUCCGUUGACGUACCCUGCAAGCAGGUUUGACGCCCUCUCAAUUAUUCUGCUCGUUUCACUAACCGAUGCCUGUGCCUUGAGGUUAACUAUGUGUAUGUGUGUAUGUAUCGAGAGAAAAUCCUAGAUGUUAAAUCAUGUAGAAUAGUGAAGUCCAGUUCGUCGCUCGCCAGGUGCUCGAUAUAUUGCCUGAGUCGGAUUUGUCACCAUUUUCGCGAGUCCUGACUCGAUUUAGGUAUUGUGUAAGUUUAGAUUCGCUUGCAGUGAAGUUUAGUUCAAUCAGUUAGUCUUCGAAUAUUUGCGCAAUUAGAAAUAUUUUUUUUCCAUUAGUGAAAUAAAUCACACAAUGGAAGUAAUAAAAUGAAUAAUUUAUUGUAUCUGAUUUUGGGAUUGAAUGGAGUCCAUGGACCACAAUUCACAAGUUGAUCCUUGGCGUGUGCUUUAUGUAGCUAGAACUAUAAUUCACUUGAUGCUUCAUCUUCUCAUACGUAAGGUCUAAAACUCAUAAUCGUCGUCGGUUCCGCUGUAGUCGAGUCGAAUUGAUUAUGAUACUAUUAAAUCUUGGAGUUUCUCGCAGCUAAGCUUAAUUCAGUUUGGGUAUGGAUAGUUAGAUAACUAGUUUAAGUGUACUUAAUCACCUUUCUUUAAUAAAGUAAAUACUAGAUAAUUAAGAAAGAUUGGAUAAUGUUGAGUGAAGUCCAUGGAACGUCGACCUUGGUUAAUCCAUGGCACGCCUGUGAUGUUUGCCUGAAUGCAAGCUAGGAUGAGUUGCUUCUAAAUGAGUAACUCCAUUUUUACUCUAAAUUAGUAUGUUUAUCUAAUCAUCUUGUUAUAUGGUGGACUAGUAAGUACCUUAGGCAAUAAUUUAUUAAUCUAUAAUGUACUAUUGGAGCUUAUAAAACUAGUUAAAUUACUCUUAACUUUAAUCUAAGUCUUAGGUGGCUAUCACUGGUGAAUCUAAGUUUUAGUAAUUUCUUGGGAUGUACUGCCUUCUUGGUGCUUGUGCGAGACCUUAUUGAAUUAGAAAGUUAGUUAAAUGUGUUCUAUCACCUUUGCCAAGUUUUGAGUGUUAAAAAGUGACAGGUCUAAGUGUAGUAACCUAUCGAUGUUAUGCUUUAGCUUAAGGCUAAUUGUGUUAAAUGUGUUGUUUCUUGAUGUUGCGUUGGUUCAUUUAAUUUAGAGAACCGUAAUUAUUGUGUUUAAUCGUAUGUCGAUAACUAGUGUCUUCGUAGAAAGGGGUACGACGCUUCGCCGCUAGGUGUUUAAUUCGCUAUCGCAUAACACUAUUUAGGUUUGUAAUAUUCCUGUUUAUAUGCACUCAUGUGCAUCAUGCAUCUCAAUUAGGUACGAUAAUUGAUCGCGUGAUGCGGAAGACGAACCAAGUCGACCCCAAGCGCGGGCUACUCCGCAUGGAGAUGCUGAUGAACGAAUCUGCCUGAUCAAGUGCUAGGACAAGGAUGAUCGUUAAGUGGACGUCACCUAACAACACUAACCUAGUGUUACCCAGGCAAGCCCCGGUGCAUUUGCCACCUCCUUGUUGUUUUAAAACUUUUAUCACUUAUAUGCUGCAUUAGGUGAUAGGAGUUGAGUGAAGAAACAAUUGAUGCAUUGCCAUUCCUUGGAAUUCGAUUACUAUUCCUUGAUACCUGUUUUAUAAAGAGAACUAAUGAGGCUUAGCCCUGCUUAGAAACUAAAAGUUGUUUCUUUUAAAAAGAAUGUUGUGCAACACUGGAUAUGGGUUUUAUGAAAAAGGAACUUGUAAUAAUGAAGGCAUCACUCGCGAUGAUGAAUUCAUUAUUCGAGUAUUGUACCUCUGUCAGGUACAUGGUUUGGGUGUUAAAUAAUAAGAUGAGACCAGACGUUGAGCAGGAAAGGUCGCCCGUCUGUGUCGAUUAAGGACCGUUCCGAUUGUUGGCCUGCUGAUCUAGGACCCUUUAACUGGCCACAUGCCUCAUCAUGGGUAAGCUUAGCCUCGGCUGGACCAAUACCAGAAAGGUCGGCCCGCAAUGGGAGUGGAGAGAUGGCGAGAGUAUCGUGUAUCCACCUGGCAAGAGGCUGGAUGGUGGGGUACUGAGCUCUCGGUUGGCGGGGACCCGUUCUGGUCUUGAGAAACCCGGUGGCGAGUUGACAUAUGCAAGGGUUAAGUGCUACAUAUGUCGUGUGGUUGGAGAUCCCCAGCUGAGUAUUAAUCGAUUCGGAUCGCCGAACUUCUCGGAUAUGAAGACUGGAUCUUCGACCCUCAUCGUAGAUAACAAGUGAAACUAAAGCUGCUAAAAUGAAGCUAGUUUAGGACAAGUGAAUGCUCUAGAUUAGGCAAAUCUAGAUUCAGGAAAAGUACUUAAUCUAUGAAGUAAAACUUUGGCAUAAGGAUCCACUACUAAUAAGCUUUUCUGCAAAAACGAGUCUUUGAAAUUUGAUGAGCUUUAUCUUGAUUCCCAACAAACCAGCAUACCCUUGAGAGUCUUUUCUUUAGUCGGGUAAGUCUUGCUGAGUAAUUGCAUACUCAGGGUUUUAUUCCCUGUUUUUUUUCAGGUUAUAAUUUUGUUCUGUUGUGGAUGGUGCUAAGUGCCGGUGGGCUCGGCCUUCUUAUAUAAGUAUAUCCCAUCUUUAGCUUCUUUAUUGAGGAUUGUCACUUAAGCUAGCAUGUAUUUUAAAAACUUAUAAAUACUUUAUACAUUUUAAAGUGUAAUUCUGUUGAAUCAUUUUCUUUUGUAAUCACUCCAAUAAUUGUAUAAUGUAAACUUAUUGUAACAUGUAAUUAUUUUGCAAUAAAGAAUUUAUUUCCGCUGCAAAUAUUGGUGUGUGAUUUGUGUUUACUUAAUCUUGCGAUCUUGGCGGUAAGUCGUUUAUCCGGGGUCCUCGGGGCACUCGGACAGAUCCUGUUAAGUUGUUUGGUGCACACGCAUAGCUGUCUGAGGUUUUUGAGACAAGGACAGAUGCGUGUGGGCCCGAUAACUUGGGAGGUUCUGCGACAUUCUUCGAGCGACAUUUUGGUGUACCUGGGAUUCUCACGAAUGUUAUUCACCAAAUGAGGAUCAAGAACGGUAAAGGACCUUAGCAUCAAUCGGACUACGUCGUGGUCUGUCCAUCGCGUGCUUCCGGAGCUCCUUAUUUUGUUGAUAAGGGUCUUGAGCCGGUUGUAUGUUUGUGUCGGCUCCUCGCCCCUUAUCAUCGCGAAUCGUCCAAGCUCGCCCUCCACCAACUCCAUCUUGGUGAGCAAGGUCACGUCGUUCCCCUCAUGUGAAAUCUUGAGGGUGUCUCAGAUCUGCUUGGCGUUAUCCAAGCCGCUCACUUUGUGGUAUUCAUCCCU
rnacentral:lncRNA from 1 species